rnacentral:rRNA from 1 species
AGUGAACGCUGGCGGUAGGCCUAACACAUGCAAGUCGAACGGCAGCACAGUAAGAGCUUGCUCUUACGGGUGGCGAGUGGCGGACGGGUGAGGAAUACAUCGGAAUCUACUCUUUCGUGGGGGAUAACGUAGGGAAACUUACGCUAAUACCGCAUACGACCUACGGGUGAAAGCAGGGGAUCUUCGGACCUUGCGCGAUUGAAUGAGCCGAUGUCGGAUUAGCUAGUUGGCGGGGUAAAGGCCCACCAAGGCGACGAUCCGUAGCUGGUCUGAGAGGAUGAUCAGCCACACUGGAACUGAGACAGGGUCCAGACUCCUACGGGAGGCAGCAGUGGGGAAUAUUGGACAAUGGGCGCAAGCCUGAUCCAGCCAUACCGCGUGGGUGAAGAAGGCCUUCGGGUUGUAAAGCCCUUUUGUUGGGAAAGAAAAGCAGCAGGUUAAUACGCCGCUGUUCUGGCGGUACCCAAAGAAUAAGCACCGGCUAACUUCGUG